rnacentral:rRNA from 1 species
GAUGAACGCUGGCGGCGUGCCUAAUACAUGCAAGUCGAGCGAACAGACGAGGAGCUUGCUCCUCUGACGUUAGCGGCGGACGGGUGAGUAACACGUGGAUAACCUACCUAUAAGACUGGGAUAACUUCGGGAAACCGGAGCUAAUACCGGAUAAUAUAUUGAACCGCAUGGUUCAAUAGUGAAAGACGGUUUUGCUGUCACUUAUAGAUGGAUCCGCGCCGCGUUAGCUAGUUGGUAAGGUAACGGCUUACCAAGGCAACGAUGCGUAGCCGACCGGAGAGGGUGAUCGGCCACACUGGAACUGAGACACGGUCCAGACUCCUACGGGAGGCAGCAGUAGGGAAUCUUCCGCAAUGGGCGAAAGCCUGACGGAGCAACGCCGCGUGAGUGAUGAAGGUCUUCGGAUCGUAAAACUCUGUUAUUAGGGAAGAACAAAUGUGUAAGUAACUAUGCACGUCUUGACGGUACCUAAUCAGAAAGCCACGGCUAACUACGUG